GGAAGAUGUUUUCUGAUAAUGAGCUAGGAUGUAUGAAGUUGUUUUCCUUGAUCUUUACUGUCAGGUCCCAAGAUUAUUAAUAAAUUGUUGGUUUCUGGGGGGAGAUUGCAGGGGGCCUUAAAUCUGGGCUAGUAUAUUUGAAUACAUUGAUACAGAUGAAUUUGGAGUGCUAUAUCAGAGUUGUGACAGCAAAUACAUGCAUGUCAGUAGGAAUGUG
rnacentral:misc_RNA from 1 species